UACGUAGGGGGCGAGCGUUGUCCGGAUUUAUUGGGCGUAAAGAGCUCGUAGGCGGCUUGUUGCGUCGACUGUGAAAACCCGCGGCUUAACUGCGGGCUUGCAGUUGAUACGGGCAGGCUAGAGUUCGGUAGGGGAGACUGGAAUUCCUGGUGUAGCGGUGAAAUGCGCAGAUAUCAGGAGGAACACCGGUGGCGAAGGCGGGUCUCUGGGCCGAUACUGACGCUGAGGAGCGAAAGCGUGGGGAGCGAACAGG
rnacentral:rRNA from 1 species